rnacentral:tRNA from 1 species
CUGGUGACCUAGUGGUUAAGGAUACAGCAUUGUCACUGCUGUGGUGCAGGUUCAAUCCCUGGCCCAG